GCAGAUGUGGCCAAACUGGAUAAGGCAUCUGGCUACGAACCAGAAGAUUCCAGGUUCGAGUCCUGGCAUCUGCA
rnacentral:tRNA from 1 species